UACGUAGGGGGCAAGCGUUGUCCGGAAUCAUUGGGCGUAAAGCGCGUGUAGGCGGCUCGGUAAGUCCGCUCUGAAAGUCCAGGGCUCAACCCUGGGAUGCGGGUGGAUACUGCCGGGCUCGAGUCCGGAAGAGGCGAGUGGAAUUCCCGGUGUAGCGGUGAAAUGCGUAGAUAUCUGGAGGAACACCGGUGGCGAAGGCGGCAUCCUGGACCAACACUGACACUGAUGAGCGAAAGCCAGGGGAGCAAACGGG
rnacentral:rRNA from 1 species